GACGAACGCUGGCGGCGUGCUUAACACAUGCAAGUCGACGACGCUACUGAGUAGCAAUAUUUAGUAGUGGAGUGGCGCAAGGGUGAGUAAUGUAUACGUAACCAACCCAUCGGAGACGGAUAACAUUUCGAAAGGGAUGCUAAAACGGCAUGAAGCCACGAUUUCGCAUGAGAUUGUGGUUAAAGAACCGGUACCAGGUUGCCGAUGGCUGGGCGUAUAUCCGAUUAGCUAGUUGGUAGUGUAAUGGACUACCAAGGCGACGAUCGGUAGCUGGUCUGAGAGGAUGAUCAGCCAAACUGGCACUGAGACACGGGCCAGACUCCUACGGGAGGCAGCAGUGGGGAAUAUUGGGCAAUGCCCGCAAGGGUGACCCAGCAACGCCGCGUGGAGGAUGAAGGCCGUAAGGUUGUAAACUCUGACAAGCAGGGAAGAACGGCUAUGGUAAAAGGCCAUAGAAUGACGGUACCUGCCUGAAGCCCCGGCUAACUACGUG
rnacentral:rRNA from 1 species